CAGGGUAAACUACAGAAUAAAGUUGUUAACAGGGUAAACUGUACAGAAUAAAGUUGUUAACGUGUUAACAGGGUAAACUCUACAGAAUAAAGUUGUUAACAGGGUAAACUCUACAGAAUAAAGUUGUUAACAGGGUAAACUCUACAGAAUAAAGUUGUUAACGUGUUAACAGGGUAAACUCUACAGAAUAAAGUUGUUAACAUGUUAACAGGGUAAACUCUACAGAAUAAAGUUGUUAACAGGGUAAACUCUACAGAAUAAAGUUGUCUGAACACAGAACAUGUUAACAGGGUAAACUCUACAGAAUAAAGUUGUCUGAACACAGAACAUGUUAACAGGGUAAACUCUACAGAAUAAAGUUGUCUGAGCACAGAACAUGUUAACAGGGUAAACUCUACAGAAUAAAGUUGUUAACAUGUUAACAGGGUAAACUCUACAGAAUAAAGUUGUCUGAACACAGAACGUGUUAACAGGGUAAACUCUACAGAAUAAAGUUGUCUGAACACAGAACAUGUUAACAGGGUAAACUCUACAGAAUAAAGUUGUCUGAACACAGAAC